rnacentral:lncRNA from 1 species
UUCGAUUAUAAAAGGGCGUAAAUUGAAACAGAGGCAUGAUGCAAUGAAAAAUACUAUUACAAGCUGCACGACAUUGACAGAGCAUGAAGUGUAGCCCUCAUUUCAGCCCUUGCAAAUCGGAUCUGCACAUUGAAAUUAGUGAUGACGCAUGCUAUUUAUAAACGUUAAUGUGACACUAUGUGUUUCUACAUCAUUAGAUAAACACACUAUACUAAUCAUUUUUUAUUUAGGUUCGCGAGCUUAAAAAACAUAGCAAACCAAGACGAUCUCCUUUGAAAAUGGGGCGAGGUUAUCAGAGUCUACAGAUUAUUCGAGUUCAGUCCACAGCCAAAACCAAUUUCCACCAGUUUGAAUCUUGCUGGUUUUCAUUCUAUGUCAAGUCUGU